rnacentral:tRNA from 1 species
GUCCCUGUAGCGCAAUGGACAGCGUUUUGGAUUUCUAAUCCAAAGGUCGUGGGUUCGAAUCCUACCUGGGGUG